rnacentral:rRNA from 2 species
GAGUAAUGUAUAGGAAUCUACCUAGUAGUACGGAAUAAUUGUUGGAAACGGCAACUAAUACCGUAUACGCCCUACGGGGGAAAAAUUUAUUGCUAUUAGAUGAGCCUAUAUUAGAUUAGUUAGUUGGUGAGGUAAAGGCUUACCAAGACAAUGAUCUAUAGCUGAUCUGAGAGGAUGAUCAGCCACACUGGAACUGAGAUACGGUCCAGACUCCUACGGGAGGCAGCAGUGGGGAAUAUUGGACAAUGGGCGGAAGCCUGAUCCAGCCAUGCCGCAUGAGUGAAGAAGGCCUUCGGGUUGUAAAGCUCUUUUAGUGAGGAAGAUAAUGACGGUACUCACAGAAGAAGUCCUGGCUAACUCCGUGCCAGCAGCCGCGGUAAUACGGAGAGGGCUAGCGUUAUUUGGAAUCAUUGGGCGUAAAGGGCGCGUAGGCGGGUUAGUAAGUUAAAAGUGAAAUCCCAAGGCUCAACCUUGGAACUGCUUUUAAAACUGCUAGUCUAGAGAUUGAAAGAGGAUAGAGGAAUUCCUAGUGUAGAGAU